AAGUCGAACGGCAGCACGGGGGCAACCCUGGUGGCGAGUGGCGAACGGGUGAGUAAUACAUCGGAACGUGUCCUGUAGUGGGGGAUAGCCCGGCGAAAGCCGGAUUAAUACCGCAUACGAUCUACGGAAGAAAGCGGGGGAUCCUUCAGGACCUCGCGCUAUAGGGGCGGCCGAUGGCAGAUUAGCUAGUUGGUGGGGUAAAGGCCUACCAAGGCGACGAUCUGUAGCUGGUCUGAGAGGACGACCAGCCACACUGGGACUGAGACACGGCCCAGACUCCUACGGGAGGCAGCAGUGGGGAAUUUUGGACAAUGGGGGCAACCCUGAUCCAGCAAUGCCGCGUGUGUGAAGAAGGCCUUCGGGUUGUAAAGCACUUUUGUCCGGAAAGAAAACCAUCGCCCUAAUAUGGUGGUGGGAUGACGGUACCGGAAGAAUAAGCACCGGCUAACUACGUGCCAGCAGCCGCGGUAAUACGUAGGGUGCGAGCGUUAAUCGGAAUUACUGGGCGUAAAGCGUGCGCAGGCGGUCUGUUAAGACCGAUGUGAAAUCCCCGGGCUUAACCUGGGAACUGCAUUGGUGACUGGCAGGCUUUGAGUGUGGCAGAGGGGGGUAGAAUUCCACGUGUAGCAGUGAAAUGCGUAGAGAUGUGGAGGAAUACCGAUGGCGAAGGCAGCCCCCUGGGCCAACACUGACGCUCAUGCACGAAAGCGUGGGNANCAAACAGGAUUAGAUACCCUGGUAGUCCACGCCUAAAACGAUGUCAACUAGUUGUUGGGGAUUCAUUUCCUUAGUAACGUAGCUAACGCGUGAAGUUGACCGCCUGGGGAGUACGGUCGCAAGAUUAAAACUCAAAGGAAUUGACGGGGACCCGCACAAGCGGUGGAUGAUGUGGAUUAAUUCGAUGCAACGCGAAAAACCUUACCUACCCUUGACAUGGUCGGAAUCCCGCUGAGAGGUGGGAGUGCUCGAAAGAGAACCGGCGCACAGGUGCUGCAUGGCUGUCGUCAGCUCGUGUCGUGAGAUGUUGGGUUAAGUCCCGCAACGAGCGCAACCCUUGUCCUUAGUUGCUACGCAAGAGCACUCUAAGGAGACUGCCGGUGACAAACCGGAGGAAGGUGGGGAUGACGUCAAGUCCUCAUGGCCCUUAUGGGUAGGGCUUCACACGUCAUACAAUGGUCGGAACAGAGGGUUGCCAAGCCGCGAGGUGGAGCCAAUCCCAGAAAACCGUCAAUUAGUCCGGAUCGCAGUCUGCAACUCGACUGCGUGAAGCUGGAAUCGCUAGUAAUCGCGGAUCAGCAUGCCGCGGUGAAUACGUU
rnacentral:rRNA from 1 species